UGAAGCUUACUGGUUUUUAUUUAUCUGUUCUAUCAGAAGUGUAAACUCCUUGAGAAAGCGCUGGCAGAGCUGGUUUUUUUCCAAAGUGCCGGACAUCAUAGUAAGCCAUACAGGUUCAGCUAUCCUUGGAACAGAAUAUAAGUUCCAGAUAGUUCCUCUAUAGAUACCUGAAUUCUCCCAGAGCUUCCAUCAAACGGCUGACAUAAAACUGGACUCGGAGACUUGAUUCUGCUAUUUUCCUACAGGAGAUCAUAGCCUUAUUACCUUUUCAAUUGCACUCUUCAGCCUGUUCAUGUGAGAUUCAAACAGGGGAAAAUGAGAAAAGAAGAAGUCCUGGAAAUUCCUUUGUGCUUCUUCUUUCUCACAUAGGGAAAAGAUGAUGCUUAUGGCAAUUUUCUUCCUCCUAACCAUAGCUGGAUUAGAGCUACAGGUUUCUUCAGCCAAGCUGAAUGUCUCAUCAGUUGACCU
rnacentral:lncRNA from 1 species